UUCCUUUCGUAAUUGAUAACUUUAUUUUGUAGCCAGGGGGAACCAGUUCUCCACAUUUCCAUGUUUACUAAAGCUGAUGGUGUCACUCCCCGAGAGGCACAAUCUGCUGGAUUGUCGGUAGAUGAAACAUGUGACCACUGAGUUGCGUCUAAAAUGUCUAAAAUCUCCGAAACACGAUUAGCAAUGAAAGUUUUCCAUCGACUGGGAUGGCUACUUAACCAAGCUAGCACAACCGUGGAAUCAGUCCAAGCGUGAAGUUUAUCCUUUGACGUUAUCAGAUGGACAUGAACAUUUCCAGAGCCAUCAACUACCCGAACAUAAAUUACAGCAGCAUAAGCUUCAUUUGAAGCAUCGCUAAACCCAUGGAGCUCCAGUGUGACAUCUGCUUUAGUACUUAUCCAGCGUGGGAGUCGAAAUUUGGUAUGCUGAUUGGAGGUAGUUGCACGGAGUAUUCGAAGUCGUCGUUUCGUCGGUUCCAGGUAAGUCCUAAAAUUUUAACUAUUUCAUUUGAUUUCAGUUCUACAUUAAUAUCUAAGUCUAAACCUUUUUUAUUUAUUUCCUUUAGCAGAUUUUCAUCAUUGCUUGACCACUUUUGGAGUUCAAAGCCGCCUGUCUUUAGUAGGUUGGUAAUAUCGUUAAAUAAUUGCUUUCCUUCUGAAACUGAUUCACACCCAGUAAGCAAAUCAUCCAUGUAAAAAUCCUUUAAGAUUUUUUCAGAUGCGACGGGAUACUCUCCUCCUUCAUCGUGUGCUAUCUGCUGCAGAGUUCGAACUGCAAGGUAAGGAGCAGACGCAGUACCAAAAGUGACACGUAAAAGGCGAAGAUGCUGUAAAUCUUCUGUAGUGUCUGUGCGCCACACUAAACGUUGAUAGUCUACAUCUUCUCUUGUUACCCUCACUUGACGGUACAUUUUGAUUAUGUCGGCAACCAGACAAAUAGGAUGUAGCCUCCAUCUUAAAACAAUGUGACGUAAGUCAGGCUGUAGCGCCGGUCCGACCAUCAAAUCACUAUUCAGUGAUACACCGUUCUGGUCUCGACAGGAUGCAUCGAAAACAACUCUGAGUUUAGUCGUCGAUUUAUCAGCUCUAACGACCGCGUGAUGAGCUCGGAUCGACAUCUCUGAAUGGGAGUUUAACGAUAUAACUUCCUGAUGGAUCUCGCUUCGUGGUUUCUUUAUAGAUGUCUUCACAUCUUUGUUCUUCAUGAGUGAGGUGAGUUCUUUUAAGGUUAAAGUUAUCAGACUCAAGUUCCCAAAAUUGUUUAAGGUUAAAAUCAUCAUUGUUAAUUUGAGUGUGCAUUGUUAAUAUGUUUUCGCAACCCAAACCAUGUUGGUCGUGAUGAUCGUUCUCAAUUUUUCCAGAUAAGAUCCAACCUAGCCUAGUGUUCUGAGCUAUUGGUGUUCCUGGUGGUCCUCUCAUUAGACCCUCAGCUAUGAUUUGACAAUAGACAUCAGCACCAAGCAACAUAUCAAUAUGACUUGGUUUGUUGAAAUUUGGAUCUGCUAACUUCAUCCUUGGUAGAUUUGGCCACAGAUGGACAACGAAUUCCUUUACAGGGAGGAAUGAAGUUAGUUUUUUAAGAACAUGAGCUGUUACACAAAUAGUAAAUGAUUCAUCUUGAAUUGAUUGCAGAUUAAUCUGCACUACAUAUUUGGAAUCAAGUGAGGCAUUGCCGUCACCUCCAACUCCAGAUAUGACACUGUUGCUUUUGAUUUUCUUUAGCCCCAGCAACUGGACUGCAGACUCCGUAAUAAAUGAAGCCUGUGAGCCCUGAUCUAAUAAGGCUCGCAGUGUCAUACUUGAUCCAGAAUUAUUGUUGGCCCUUACGAGGGCUGUUGCCAAUAGAACUUGUUUUCUGGUAUUAGUAAAACAAGUGGUAAUAUUUUCAAUGUUGGUCUCGUCUGGUCUCGAUGUUGUUGCCGUUGCAACAACAUUGAUAUCUUCUGGUGAUUGGUUGUUAGCUGAUACAUUAUCUGUUGAUACACUAGCGUUGUAAUGCAAAAGUGAAUGGUGUUUUCGUUUGCAAAUCUUACACCUGGUGGGCAAACGACACGCCUCAACCGAAUGAUUAGCACCUAAACAGUUGAAGCAUAAGGCGGAACUUUGAACAAACUCACGACGUGUUUUAAGGUUACCCUUAGCAAAUUUCUUACAAUUUCCUAUUUUAUGCGUACUAUCUGAACAAAAGACACAAUUUGAUUUUUCCUUAAAAGUUACAUGAUGAGAUUGAGUGCUUUUGACUGGUUUGUUUAUUAAAAAUUCAAGUGACCUAAACCUUUGCUCUAAAAAUUCAAAAAACUGAUUUAAUGUUGGCAAUUCAUCUGUUAAAUUACAAAUUUUAGUUUCCCAUAACUCUCUAGACUUAGUAUCUAAUUUUGAACUUAAAAUAUAUAAAACAAUAACAUCCCAAUUGUCAGUUACUAUUCCUAUAUUUUUCAAUGCAUUUAAACAUUCAUUUGUGGUGUCUAGUAAUUCUUUAACAGCAUUUGAAGAUUCGGAAACAAUAUUCUUUUGAGAAAAAAAUCUUUUUAAAAUACUAUUUGUAAUAAAUUUCUUAUUAUUAAAACGUUGUUCUAACAUACUCCAACAUAGUUCAUAAUUUUCACUUGUAACCGGCAAAUGUCGUAGUAACUGCUCGGCUUCACCGGUCAGGUAACUUUUUAGGUAAUGCAACUUUUGCACUGCUUGCAACGAUUUGUUGCUGUGUAUCAAUGACUUAAACAGGUCACGAAACGUGGUCCAUUGUGAAUAGUGGCCAGAAAAAGUAGGUAUUGUUAUUCUAGGUAAUUUUACUUCACUGUUAAUGUUGCUUACUACAUCACUCGUAACUAUAGGGCUAUUUUUAAAUUUAGUAAGUUUUUCCUUUAUAUCAAUUUUGUAUUCACUAUAUAAAUCUUCCGUCUCUCCAUAUACAUCUUUCAAGCUGUACUCCGAUUCAUCAUAAUCUUCCUCACCAUAGUUACAUAUUAAUUUAUUGUGUGUCUCUUCAAAUGUUGACCAUUGUUUUUCUAAUUGUUCCAAUCUGGUUUCCAAAUAACUUCCUGUAAUUCUAUCUUUUGGUGUUUUCUUAAAAUUUGUAUAAGCCCUUUUUAAUGUUUUGUUAAUAUCUUUCUGUACUCUUACAAGUGAUUCCAUUGUGAUUUUUCUAAGUUACACUUGUAAAAUUUCCAAGUUCCAAAUCGCAAAUUUUUCUAAGUGUUUGGUGUACCUAAUAAUUUCGACUUAGGCAAAAUCGGGCAUGGAUUCCCCGUGGUUAACAACUUUUGCCUUAACUUU